rfam:Salmo salar isolate Sally breed double haploid chromosome ssa02, whole genome shotgun sequence.
UGCAUUCACUACUGUAAGUCGCUCUGGAUAAGAGCUUCUGCUAAAUGACAAAAA